rnacentral:rRNA from 1 species
ACACUCCUACGGGAGGCAGCAGUGGGGAAUUUUGGACAAUGGGCGAAAGCCUGAUCCAGCAAUGCCGCGUGUGUGAAGAAGGCCUUCGGGUUGUAAAGCACUUUUGUCCGGAAAGAAAUCCUUGGCUCUAAUACAGUCGGGGGAUGACGGUACCGGAAGAAUAAGCACCGGCUAACUACGUGCCAGCAGCCGCGGUAAUACGUAGGGUGCGAGCGUUAAUCGGAAUUACUGGGCGUAAAGCGUGCGCAGGCGGUUUGCUAAGACCGAUGUGAAAUCCCCGGGCUCAACCUGGGAACUGCAUUGGUGACUGGCAGGCUAGAGUAUGGCAGAGGGGAGUAGAAUUCCACGUGUAGCAGUGAAAUGCGUAGAGAUGUGGAGGAAUACCGAUGGCGAAGGCAGCCCCCUGGGCCAAUACUGACGCUCAUGCACGAAAGCGUGGGGAGCAAACAGGAUUAGAAACCCCGGUAGUCCCAUGA